GGAAGUAAAAGUCGUAACAAGGUCUCCGUUGGUGAACCAGCGGAGGGAUCAUUACCGAGUUUACAACUCCCAAACCCAAUGUGAACGUUACCAAACUGUUGCCUCGGCGGGGUCACGCCCCGGGUGCGUAAAAGCCCCGGAACCAGGCGCCCGCCGGAGGAACCAACCAAACUCUUUCUGUAGUCCCCUCGCGGACGUAUUUCUUACAGCUCUGAGCAAAAAUUCAAAAUGAAUCAAAACUUUCAACAACGGAUCUCUUGGUUCUGGCAUCGAUGAAGAACGCAGCGAAAUGCGAUAAGUAAUGUGAAUUGCAGAAUUCAGUGAAUCAUCGAAUCUUUGAACGCACAUUGCGCCCGCCAGUAUUCUGGCGGGCAUGCCUGUCCGAGCGUCAUUUCAACCCUCGAACCCCUCCGGGGGAUCGGCGUUGGGGAUCGGGACCCCUCACCGGGUGCCGGCCCUGAAAUACAGUGGCGGUCUCGCCGCAGCCUCUCCUGCGCAGUAGUUUGCACAACUCGCACCGGGAGCGCGGCGCGUCCACGUCCGUAAAACACCCAACUUCUGAAAUGUUGACCUCGGAUCAGGUAGGAAUACCCGCUGAACUUAAGCAUAUCAAUAAGCGGACGA
rnacentral:rRNA from 1 species